rnacentral:rRNA from 1 species
CCUACGGGUGGCAGCAGUGGGGAAUAUUGGACAAUGGGGGGAACCCUGAUCCAGCGACGCCGCGUGAGUGAAGAAGUAUUUCGGUAUGUAAAGCUCUAUUAGCAGGGAAGAAAGAAAUGACGGUAGCUGACUAAGAAGCCUCGGCUAACUACGUGCCAGCAGGCGCUGUAAUACGUAGGGGGCAAGCGUUAUCCGGAUUUACUGGGUGUAAAGGGUGCGUAGAUGGCGAUGGAAGUCUGAAGUGAAAGGCGGGGGCCCAAACUCCGGACUGGUUUGGAUACUGGAUGGCUGGAGUGCAGGAGAGGUAAGUGGAAUGCGUGGUGUAGCGGUGAAAUGCGUAGAUAUUAGGAGGAACACCAGUGGCGAAGGCGGCGUACUGGACUGUAACUGACGUUGAGGCUCGAAAGCGUGGGGAGCAAACAGGAUUAGAUACCCGGGUAGUC